UAAUGAUCUUUACAAGUUCAUCCAAACACCAUGUAGAAGAUGCAUAGUUUCUUGAAAGAAUGACAAUUGCAAACCUUGAUUUUUCUAUUGCUUUCAAAAGCUCUGAUGAAAUAGAUUUUCCCGUCUCAAGUUUUUCCUCGUCUCUAAAGGUGAGAAUGCCCUUUUGUUUUAAGGCAACAUAUAGAUGGUCAGUAAAUCUAUUGCGUGUGUCCUCACCUCUAAAGCUGAGAAAGACAUCGUAUUUCCAUUGUGGUGUUGAAGAAGAAAUUGAUGACAAAGAUGAGGCAGAUUGAG